rnacentral:rRNA from 1 species
GACGAACGCUGGCGGCGUGCCUAAUACAUGCAAGUAGAACGCACAGUUUAUACCGUAGCUUGCUACACCAUAGACUGUGAGUUGCGAACGGGUGAGUAACGCGUAGGUAACCUGCCUGGUAGCGGGGGAUAACUAUUGGAAACGAUAGCUAAUACCGCAUAAUAUUAAUUAUUGCAUGAUAAUUGAUUGAAAGAUGCAACUGCAUCACUACCAGAUGGACCUGCGUUGUAUUAGCUAGUAGGUGAGGUAACGGCUCACCUAGGCGACGAUACAUAGCCGACCUGAGAGGGUGAUCGGCCACACUGAGACUGAGACACGGCCCAGACUCCUACGGGAGGCAGCAGUAGGGAAUCUUCGGCAAUGGACGAAAGUCUGACCGAGCAACGCCGCGUGAGUGAAGAAGGUUUUCGGAUCGUAAAGCUCUGUUGUAAGAGAAGAACGGGUGUGAGAGUGGAAAGUUCACACUGUGACGGUAUCUUACCAGAAAGGGACGGCUAACUACGUG